rnacentral:rRNA from 1 species
GAUGAACGCUAGCUACAGGCUUAACACAUGCAAGUCGAGGGGUAACGAGAGGGAAGCUUGCUUUCCUUGUCGACGACCGGCGCACGGGUGAGUAACGCGUAUCCAACCUGCCCCCAACUAAGGAAUAACCUUGCGAAAGUAAGACUAAUACCUUAUAAUUUCCUCAGAUGACAUCUGACGAGGAAUAAAGAUUUAUCGGUUGUGGAUGGGGAUGCGUCUGAUUAGCUUGUUGGCGGGGUAACGGCCCACCAAAGCAACGAUCAGUAGGGGUUCUGAGAGGAAGGUCCCCCACAGUGGAACUGAGACACGGUCCAAACUCCUACGGGAGGCAGCAGUGAGGAAUAUUGGUCAAUGGGCGAAAGCCUGAACCAGCCAAGUAGCGUGCAGGAUGACGGCCCUAUGGGUUGUAAACUGCUUUUAUACAGGAAUAAAGUUAGCCACGUGUGGUUAUUUGUAGGUACUGUAUGAAUAAGGACCGGCUAAUUCCGUGCCAGCAGCCGCAGUAA